UUUUUUUUUUUUCCAAUUUAUUUAUUUUAUUUAUUAUACUCACAGACAUAGUAUCAUUCAACUACUGAUUCCCAACACUAGAUACUGACCCUCCCAAUCCAAGAAGAUAGUAAAACCUCCAAAUUUUACUGGAAUUAAGUCCAAUUCGCAAAAUAUAAGCCAAGAUUUCAUGUCUCCCCUUACAGGCACUGGUGCAGUCUUCCCUGUGCUCUUUUCAAGACAAAUGAAGUAUCAGAAACUCUGGGUGGCUUUCCUUUUCUUCUACAUGAGUAAUUAGUUUUCAUGAAGCCCUUUGGUGCUACGACUUAAGUUAACAUAAUCUGCAAGGAAGACUACUCAACCUUUUUACUACAGAAUUCAAAGAUGCAAAUUAAAUAUUGCUCAAAUGUAGUCAGACUACCUCCUUAGUAACUGCUAACAUUGCUUCUCUUUUACCACUUUCCAAGAAAUGAGUUUAGCAUGCCAAGCUUUAAUAAAUUUUAGCUAUAAAUUGUAUAUCCAUCCCUUUGUCAUAUUACUAAGCUCAAUUUGCUAGUAAACACAAGACAGCACUGUCAAAACAGAAAACAGCCUCAACAGCAAGCUUUAAGGACCACGUCCUGUUUACAGUUUCAUGUAACUGAGAAAUCCAUAACAUACAUUGUCAAGAACUCAUUUUUACAUAAUUUUCUCCUUGACAUUGUUAUUUCACUACAGUCAGUACUUUCAUCAAGGAAACAUUGCCAUGCACAGAUAUACAGCAGAACAUCCAGUGCCAUUCUGGAGGGCUGCAGAUCGCAUUUUCCCCUUUUGGAUCAUUUAAGCAGAUAACCAAAUUCAAAGACCCAUCUGUUGUACUCUGGAUAAGGCACUUGACGCAAACGAGCAAUACAGCACCAGACAGGUGUGUGAAAAAAGUCUGGAUGUAACUUUUCUUCAUCAUUUAUACCUAAACAAGGAAUAGUUCUGUAACGAUUGUGCUCUUUCAGUCUGAAGUAAUCUUCUUGCAACAGCUUGUGCAGCUUUUAUUAACUGCUUCACAUUCUUCCCUAAACUUACUAGUUAUGGCCACAUAAAUAUUUUGAAAACUUUCCGAGGUUUAUUCUAACACAGAUUCUAUUUAAAAUAAACUCAAGGUGCACUUCAAAGGGGCAUGCAGGAUACUCAUUAGAACUUGUGAAAUAUUACCGUGAAAUCACAAUAAUAAAAUUUUAAUCUGCCC
rnacentral:lncRNA from 1 species